AAUGAGCACAGAUGCUAUGAUGUAAUAGGAAACAAAGAGAAAAAGAAGGUAUACAGUUGGGAUUUUGCCACAUGGAGAAAGGGUUUGAGUGUGACUACAUGGGGAAGAAGAAAGGAAUUUAAGCAACAAGUAACACAAGACAUUGAGGUGGGUAAGGGCACAGAUGUAUCCAGGAAAUGGCAAAGAUAACUGGAAUUCAUGAGGAACUAGGCUAGGGCAAGAUUUUGAAGAACCUCCCCUGUAAAGGAAAAUGUAAAGGAAAUUACAUUCAUCCUGCAGAAAAUCUGAGACAAAUACUUUCUAUUGUUAUACUACUAUGAUUCUCUUCUCGGAUGAUCUACGUUUAGAAAGAACACUGAUAAUAGCAAGUGGAUGAACUCAAUGUCAAAGUGUCUAGAGUCUGGGAGAGUAAUCUGAAGCCUUUGUAGGAGUCAAGGACCCAACUGGAAAAGAAGAAACAGAGUAAGAAUGAGCAAAGGACUGGGAGACAGAAGACUUCAGUUGGAAUUACACAUUCUUGAAAACUGACUUUCUCAGUUAUGUUCUCAUGAAAGAAACUAUGUGUCCAUUCAAAGAAUCAUGUGAAUGGAAUCUGUCUACUUCAAAUCCAUGCUACUAAAAUGGAGCUAAUAAGCGUUAUUUCCUCAGCUGUAACUGGGGAGGUUAAUACUUGUUAAAUCACUUGUCUGCUAUAAGGUUUGCUUGUAAACAAUGUGAAAUAAUGUUUUCAAAAUUAUUAAAAUGUUAUUUACAAGAGUGUGAUAUAAUAAAAUGUGAUUAUAUAAACA